AGAGUUUGAUCAUGGCUCAGAGCGAACGCUGGCGGCAGGCUUAACACAUGCAAGUCGAGCGGGCGUAGCAAUACGUCAGCGGCAGACGGGUGAGUAACGCGUGGGAACAUACCUUUUGGUUCGGAACAACCCAGGGAAACUUGGGCUAAUACCGGAUAAGCCCUUACGGGGAAAGAUUUAUCGCCGAAAGAUUGGCCCGCGUCUGAUUAGCUAGUUGGUGAGGUAACGGCUCACCAAGGCGACGAUCAGUAGCUGGUCUGAGAGGAUGAUCAGCCACAUUGGGACUGAGACACGGCCCAAACUCCUACGGGAGGCAGCAGUGGGGAAUAUUGGACAAUGGGGGCAACCCUGAUCCAGCCAUGCCGCGUGAGUGAUGAAGGCCCUAGGGUUGUAAAGCUCUUUUGUGCGGGAAGAUAAUGACGGUACCGCAAGAAUAAGCCCCGGCUAACUUCGUGCCAGCAGCCGCGGUAAUACGAAGGGGGCUAGCGUUGCUCGGAAUCACUGGGCGUAAAGGGUGCGUAGGCGGGUCUUUAAGUCAGGGGUGAAAUCCUGGAGCUCAACUCCAGAACUGCCUUUGAUACUGAGGAUCUUGAGUCCGGGAGAGGUGAGUGGAACUGCGAGUGUAGAGGUGAAAUUCGUAGAUAUUCGCAAGAACACCAGUGGCGAAGGCGGCUCACUGGCCCGGUACUGACGCUGAGGCACGAAAGCGUGGGGAGCAAACAGGAUUAGAUACCCUAGUAGUCC
rnacentral:rRNA from 1 species